GCAGCAGCCGCGGUAAUACGUAGGGUGCAAGCGUUAAUCGGAAUUACUGGGCGUAAAGCGUGCGCAGGCGGUGUUGUAAGACUGAUGUGAAAUCCCCGGGCUCAACCUGGGAACUGCAUUGGUGACUGCAACGCUGGAGUGCGGCAGAGGGGGAUGGAAUUCCGCGUGUAGCAGUGAAAUGCGUAGAUAUGCGGAGGAACACCGAUGGCGAAGGCAAUCCCCUGGGCCUGCACUGACGCUCAUGCACGAAAGCGUGGGGAGCAAACAGGAUUAGAUACCCCCGUAGUCCCGUCUCUUAUACA
rnacentral:rRNA from 1 species